CGGUAGAGCAUCAGACUUUUAAUCUGA
rnacentral:piRNA from 2 species